rnacentral:rRNA from 1 species
AUGUUGGAGCUGCGGAUGGCGAAGGGAAGCCUCUUCGAGAAGGUCCUGGAGGCGAUCCUCGACCUGGUCAAUGUGGCCAACGUCGACUGCUCCAGCAACGGCUUGUCGCUCGAGGCCCUGCACACUGAAGACCGCUGCGACGAAGACCGCUCCAUGGGCAUCGCAAUCGCCGACAUGGUCAAUUUCCUCCGCGCCUCCAACAAUGGUGACAUCAUCACCAUCAAGGUCGACGACCAAAACUUUGAGGACAUUACCAUAACAUUCGAGUCGCCCGACAAGACUAAAACUACGGCUAUGGCUUUGUUUCUUGUGGACAGCAGAAGCCAACGCCUCAAAAUCCCGGAUUGGCACGAUAUGGAGCUGAAGUACCAGGCCAUUUUCUGCAUGCCCUCUGCGGAGUUUAUGUGGAACUGCAAGUCCCUCAGCGUCAUCGACGACGAUGUUGUCAUCUCGGUGGAUAACGAGGUCAUCAGCUUCUUUACUUCAGGAAAAAGUGGGUGCAUGAACAUUGCCCAUGUGCCGAACAAAACUGACAAGCCAGAAAAAGCUAGUGUUACCCUUACACAUAUGCGAGGGCCAGUUGAAUUGACCUUGAACCUGAGGUACAUGAACUCCUGCGCCAAGGUGUUUACCCUGUUUGAUCAAGUGAAGAUCGGUCUCUCCACCACGCAACCUGUGAUGGUCGAGUGCAAAAUUGAAGAGAAGGGCUACAUCAGAUAUUUCCUGGCACCAAAGAUCCAAAUAGAGAUUGAAGAGGAAAAGGAAGGGAAAACAGAGAUCGAAGAGGCAGAGGGAGAGGAAGGGAAAACAGAGAUCCAAGAGGAAGGGAGCCCAAGGAAUAAAGCAAAAAGAAAGAAUGCCGAGAGGAACAAGAGUUCGGAUAGGAAGGAAGAUGAAAAUAAAGAGAGAUCGAAGAAGAAGAAGGGAUCAAGAAAGAUAAAAAAUGAUGAAAAGGAAGAUGAGAUGCUGGGCUGA